GAUGAACGCUGGCGGCGUGCCUAAUACAUGCAAGUCGAGCGAACAGACGAGGAGCUUGCUCCUCUGACGUUAGCGGCGGACGGGUGAGUAACACGUGGAUAACCUACCUAUAAGACUGGGAUAACUUCGGGAAACCGGAGCUAAUACCGGAUAAUAUAUUGAACCGCAUGGUUCAAUAGUGAAAGACGGUUUUGCUGUCACUUAUAGAUGGAUCCGCGCCGCAUUAGCUAGUUGGUAAGGUAACAGCUUACCAAGGCAACGAUGCGUAGCCGACCUGAGAGGGUGAUCGGCCACACUGGAACUGAGACACGGUCCAGACUCCUACGGGAGGCGGCAGUAGGGAAUCUUCCGCAAUGGGCGAAAGCCUGACGGAGCAACGCCGCGUGAGUGAUGAAGGUCUUCGGAUCGUAAAACUCUGUUAUUAGGGAAGAACAAAUGUGUAAGUAACUAUGCACGUCUUGACGGUACCUAAUCAGAAAGCCACGGCUAACUACGUG
rnacentral:rRNA from 1 species